CCUACGGGUGGCUGCAGUGGGGAAUUUUGGACAAUGGGCGCAAGCCUGAUCCAGCCAUGCCGCGUGCAGGAUGAAGGCCCUCGGGUUGUAAACUGCUUUUGUACGGAACGAAAAGCCUCUCUCGAAUAAAGAGGGGUGAUGACGGUACCGUAAGAAUAAGCACCGGCUAACUACGUGCCAGCAGCCGCGGUAAUACGUAGGGAAUGAGCGUUAGUCGGAAUUACUCGGCGGACAGCGUGCGCAAGCGGUGACAUCCCCGGGCUCAACCUGGGAACGGCCAUUGUGACUGCAAGGCUGGAGUACGGCAGAGGGGGAUGGAAUUCCGCGUGUAGCAGUGAAAUGCGUAGAUAUGCGGAGGAACACCGAUGGCGAAGGCAGUCCCCUGGGCCUGUACUGACGCUCAUGCACGAAAGCGUGGGGAGCAAACAGGAUUAGAUACCCCUGUAGUC
rnacentral:rRNA from 1 species